UUAAAAAUUGCCGUAUGAUAGAUCUUGUUUACAUGUACAACUUAAUUGUAUCACGUAAACAAGAUGAAUGUUCAUUACCUAUCUUAAUUUUAUUUGGAUGGCAAGACCGUAGAUGAAUAUUCAGAGUGGUAUUUAUAAUUUUUAAAUAAUAAGUUUGUUUUUGUUGUAAGUUAAUUUUUUUUUUUCAUAUUUUGUGUAUAAUAUUAAUAAUAAUACAUUAAUGCUAACAUAAUUAGCAAUUAUUUCUAGUGUUAUGCAUGUUAAUGGAUGAAGUAUAGAAACAGUGAUUGAUAGUCAAAGCAAACCAACACAAUUACAGUCCCGUCUUUUGACUUACGUAAUGAAAUUGAAGCAUCAGCCACGUUCCCCGCUAAUACAACUGCAUAUGCUCUAGUAAUUUCAGACAAUUUAUGAAUAUUGACGGCAGCGCAAUAAAAACGUUGGGCUUGUUGUGGAAUCCAUGUGAUGAUUAUUAUCAAUACAAAUAUAAUAACAUCGAAUCAAGUAAACAAUCAAUUUCUAAACGUACAAUAUUAUCUACUAUA